GCGACAACUACUUAUAGAAGCGCCUGAAACCGCCGCGGGCGAUGUUGACAGCCAGUGCAGAAUAUGCAAUGGCGCAAGAAAUAGAA
rnacentral:sRNA from 1 species